rnacentral:rRNA from 1 species
CCUACGGGAGGCAGCAGUGGGGAAUAUUGGACAAUGGGGGGAACCCUGAUCCAGCGACGCCGCGUGAGUGAAGAAGUAUUUCGGUAUGUAAAGCUCUAUCAGCAAGGAAGAAAGAAAUGACGGUACCUGACUAAGAAGCCCCGGCUAACUACGUGCCAGCAGCCGCGGUAAUACGUAGGGGGCAAGCGUUAUCCGGAUUUACUGGGUGUAAAGGGAGCGUAGACGGUUACGCAAGUCUGGAGUGAAAGGCGGGGGCCCAACCCCCGGACUGCUUUGGAAACUGUAUAACUGGAGUGCAGGAGAGGUAAGUGGAAUUCCUAGUGUAGCGGUGAAAUGCGUAGAUAUUAGGAGGAACACCAGUGGCGAAGGCGGCCUGCUGGGCUUUUACUGACGCUGAGGCUCGAAAGUGUGGGGAGCAAACAGGAUUAGAUACCCUGGUAGUC